rnacentral:rRNA from 1 species
CCUACGGGUGGCUGCAGUGGGGAAUAUUGGACAAUGGGCGAAAGCCUGAUCCAGCCAUGCCGCGUGUGUGAAGAAGGCCUUCGGGUUGUAAAGCACUUUCAGUGGGGAAGAAAGCCUUGGGGCUAAUACCCUCGAGGAAGGACAUCACCCACAGAAGAAGCACCGGCUAACACCGUGCCAGCAGCCGCGGUAAUACGGAGGGUGCGAGCGUUAAUCGGAAUUACUGGGCGUAAAGCGCGCGUAGGCGGUCUGAUAAGCCGGUUGUGAAAGCCCCGGGCUCAACCUGGGAACGGCAUCCGGAACUGUCAGGCUAGAGUGCAGGAGAGGAAGGUAGAAUUCCCGGUGUAGCGGUGAAAUGCGUAGAGAUCGGGAGGAAUACCAGUGGCGAAGGCGGCCUUCUGGACUGACACUGACGCUGAGGUGCGAAAGCGUGGGUAGCAAACAGGAUUAGAUACCCCAGUAGUC